UCCGGCUUGUCACCGGCAGUUCCCUCAGAGUGCCCGGCCGGACCGCUGGCAACUGAAGGCGAGGGUUGCGCUCGUUGCGGGACUUAACCCAACAUCUCACGACACGAGCUGACGACAGCCAUGCAGCACCUGUGUUACGGCUCUCUUUCGAGCACUCCCACAUCUCUGCGGGAUUCCGUACAUGUCAAAGGUGGGUAAGGUUUUUCGCGUUGCAUCGAAUUAAACCACAUCAUCCACCGCUUGUGCGGGUCCCCGUCAAUUCCUUUGAGUUUUAAUCUUGCGACCGUACUCCCCAGGCGGACGACUUCACGCGUUAGCUGCGUUACUAAGGGAUUUAACUCCCCCAACAACUAGUCGUCAUCGUUUAGGGCGUGGACUAC
rnacentral:misc_RNA from 1 species